UACGUAGGGUGCGAGCGUUAAUCGGAAUUACUGGGCGUAAAGCGCACGUAGGCGGAUAUUUAAGUCAGGGGUGAAAUCCCGGGGCUCAACCCCGGAACUGCCUUUGAUACUGGGUAUCUCGAGUCCGAGAGAGGUGAGUGGAAUUCCGAGUGUAGAGGUGAAAUUCGUAGAUAUUCGGAGGAACACCAGUGGCGAAGGCGGCUCACUGGCUCGGUACUGACGCUGAGGUGCGAAAGCGUGGGGAGCAAACAGG
rnacentral:rRNA from 1 species